rnacentral:rRNA from 1 species
AUCGUAAAGCUCUGUCAUAUGGGACGAUAAUGACGGUACCAUAGAAUGAAGCCACGGCUAACUACGUGCCAGCAGCCGCUGUACUACGUAGGUGGCGAGCGUCCGUCCGGAAUGAUCGGGCGUAAAGCGUGCGUAGGCGGAUAUGUACCUCUGAUGUGACAGGCCCGGGCUCAACCUGGGCACUGCAUUCGAAACUGCAUAUCUAGAGUGCAGGAGAGGAAAGUGGAAUUCCUAGUGUAGAGGUGAAAUUCGUAGAGAUUAGGAAGAACACCAGUGGCGAAGGCGACUUUCUGGACUGUAACUGACGCUGAGGUACGAAAGCGUGGGGAGCGAACAGGAUUAGAUACCCUGGUAGUCCACGCCGUAAACGAUGGAUACUAGGUGUCGGGGGCGACCAGCUUUCGGUGCCGCAGCAAACGCAUUAAGUAUCCCGCCUGGGGAGUACGGUCGCAAGAUUAAAACUCAAAGGAAUUGACGGGGACCCGCACAAGCAGCGGAGCAUGUGGUUUAAUUCGAAGCAACGCGAAGAACGUUACCUAGGCUUGACAUCCUGUGAAUCCUGUAGAGAUACGGGAGUGCCUUCGGGAACACAGUGACAGGUGGUGCAUGGUUGUCGUCAGCUCGUGUCGUGAGAUGUUGGGUUAAGUCCCGCAACGAGCGCAACCCGUAUUGUUAGUUGCUACCAUUAAGUUGAGCACUCUAGCAAGACUGCCUGGGUUAACCAGGAGGAAGGUGGGGAUGACGUCAAAUCAUCAUGCCCCUUAUGUCUAGGGCUACACACGUGUUACAAUGGUCGGUACAGAGAUCAGCAAGACCGCGAGGUGGAGCAAAUCUCAGAAGCCGAUCCCAGUUCGGAUUGCAGGCUGCAACUCGCCUGCAUGAAGUUGGAGUUGCUAGUAAUCGCGAAUCAGAAUCUCACGUGAAUGCGUUCCCGGGUCUUGUACACACCGCCCGUCACACCAUGAGAGCUG